AGGGACUGCCUCCUUGGGAAGAUGACUUUUGGAUAAAGACUUGAAGCAGAUGAUGGAGCAAGCUUUACAGAUAUCUGGAGGAAGAAUGUUCCAGGCAGAAAAAAAGAGCAAGUUCAAAAAUCUAAGCCUAAGACGAAGGGAGCAUCAUCUUCGUUUUCACCAGCUCAGAGGGCAAAGCAGCUUGUCCCGGGUCACACAGCACGUCUGCAGAGAAACUGGGAGGAUGGUUUCAUGAAGAGGAGGAUCUUACCUAGAGGGAGCUUAGGUAUACAAAUGGUAUACUUUCAGGCAUGGGAGCAAAGUGGAGCUAGUUUAGGGGAUGGGGUAUCAGGUGGACACCCACCUGUAGAAGAGGC